ensembl:snRNA U6 U6 spliceosomal RNA
GUGCUUGCUUCAGCAGCACAGAUACUAAAAUUGGAACAAUACAGAGAAGAUUAGCACGGCCCCUGCGCAAGGAUGACAUGCGAAUUCAUGAAACAUUUUGUAUUAAU